rnacentral:rRNA from 1 species
UACGGAGGGUGCAAGCGUUAUCCGGAUUCACUGGGUUUAAAGGGUGCGUAGGUGGGUUGGUAAGUCAGUGGUGAAAUCUCCGAGCUUAACUUGGAAACUGCCAUUGAUACUAUCAAUCUUGAAUAUUGUGGAGGUCAGCGGAAUAUGUCAUGUAGCGGUGAAAUGCGUAGAGAUGACAUAGAACACCAAUUGCGAAGGCAGCUGGCUGCACAUAUAUUGACACUGAGGCACGAAAGCGUGGGGAUCAAACAGG